rnacentral:lncRNA from 1 species
CAGCUCACUGCAACCUCUGCCUCCCAGGCUCAAAUGAUCCUCCUGCCUCAGCCUUCUGAGUAGCUGGGACUAAGGACAUGUGCCACCAUGUCUGGUGUAUUUUUGUAUUUUUUGUAUUUUGUAAUUUUUGUAUUUUUUGUAGAGAAGGGUUUCAACAUGUUGCCCUGGCUGGUCUCAAACUCCUGGUCUCAAGGGAUCCGUCCACCUCAGCCUCCGAAAGGGCUGGGAUUACAGGCGUGAGCCACCAUGCCUGGCCUCCUUUAGGAUUUUCUGUACAACAGGUGAGUGCACUGCAAGAAGGUGGCCAUCUGCAAGCCAGGAAGAGGGCCCUUGCCAGAAACUGAACUGCCUGGCGUCUUGAUCUCGGACUUCCCAGCCUCCAGAACUGUCUGUCUUUAUGCUGUGAGCUCUCAGAGGACAAGUAUCAGUCCUUACCCGUCUUCCCCAGUGCCCGGCAGACUGAAAGUGUUCAAAUUAUGUUUGCUCUCCUAUAGCCUUUGGUUGAAGUCUUCUUGCCAGUUUUAAUAUGUAAUUCUGGAUUAAGGGUUUAUUGUUCUCGUUGUUAUUGUAUGUAUAUGUAAGCCAAAAUCUCUGUAUAAGAAAUACUGUGUGUUGUGAAAGUUAAAAUAUUAAAAAAAUAUAGGGACUAUCUCCCUUCCCAUCUUAGCUUCCUCCCAAGGCAACUACUGUCAUGAGUUUCUUGUAUACUAUUUCACAACUAUGCUACGCAGGUUCACACAUGUUGUGAAUCCCCCAACCCCCUUUUGCUUCACAAUGGGUGCACACUGU